AGGCAGAGGAGGGAGAACAUUCGAAUGGAGAGAGAGCAAGAGUGGGAACGGAAAUUGGAAGACAGGGAAGAAAGGGAAAAGGAUAGGGAAAAGAUGAGAUGGAAAAGAUAUCGAGAAUGGGAAGCUAUGGAAAGGGAGAGUGAAAAGAGGGAAAGAAGAAGAAGAGAGGAGGAUUUGAUUCAGGAGAAAGAAUGGGAGGAGAGGAUGAACAGGAGGAGGUCAGAAUGGAAGAAGAGGAUUGAUGGUAUGUUAGAACAACACCGAGCAGAAAUGGGGCAGAUUCAGACCCGAAUUCUUCAUGAGCAACAGAACCUUACUGGCCG
rnacentral:misc_RNA from 1 species